AUUCAUAGCUUUAACUUAGCAAUGUUGGCAAAGCAGUGUUGGAGACUAAUUGAGAACUUUGGUUCCUUAUGUGCACGAGUUCUGAGAGGCAAGUACUACCCUACAGGAGAUAUUCUGAAUUGUCAACUGAAGAAGGGGUUGUCCUAUGUGUGGCAAAGCAUUUGGUCUGGAAUUCAAACGUUCAAGAAGGGUUACAUUUGGAGAGUAGGCAAUGGAGAAAAGAUUAAUAUAUGGGAUGACUGUUGGAUCCCGAACAGUGCCUCCAAAAAAGUUUUAACAGUAAGGGAGAACCAAGUACUUACUAAAGUGAAUGAGUUAAUUGACCCAAUCACGGAAGAAUGGGAUGAGAUAUUAAUCCGGGAGAAUUUCUGGCACAUUGAUGCUGAACGCAUACUACAAAUCCCAUUAUUCCAUGUGGAGACAGAGGACUAUGUUGCAUGGCAUCUCACGAGGAGCGGCGUUUUUUCAGUACGUUCU
rnacentral:rRNA from 1 species